rnacentral:lncRNA from 1 species
GUUUUAUAGUAUUAAAUUAUAAGUAGAAAGUAUUUAUAAAAUUAGACUGUUAGGAGAAUGAGUGGCAUACCAAUUUUUUUAUGAAAAAAGAGGGGUGCAGACAAAGUUUGGAAACCAUUGCUUUAAUCUGUUCAGAUUUGUUGAUAUGUAGAUGCUUCAUGGAAUUAGAACAAAAAAAAAAAACAAAGAAAAACAAAAAAUUCAAUUCUGGUUUACUCAGAAUUGAUUUGCUCAGUAUACUUAUUGUGGAUUGGUAUUUUUGCAUUUAUUGGUUGAAAAUAUAUGCCUCCAGUGAUAGUUUCUAAAUUUUUCCAUUCUG